rnacentral:rRNA from 1 species
UACGGAGGGAGCUAGCGUUGUUCGGAAUUACUGGGCGUAAAGCGCACGUAGGCGGCUUUGUAAGUUAGAGGUGAAAGCCCGGGGCUCAACUCCGGAACUGCCUUCGAUACUGCGGGUCUCGAGUCCGGGAGAGGUGAGUGGAAUUCCUAGUGUAGAGGUGAAAUUCGUAGAUAUUAGGAAGAACACCAGUGGCGAAGGCGGCUCACUGGUCCAUUACUGACGCUGAGGUGCGAAAGCGUGGGGAGCAAACAGG